rnacentral:rRNA from 1 species
CCCUUAGAUGUUCUCGGCCGCACACGCGCUACACUGAAAGAGGCAACGUGUUUGCCUGAUUCGAAAGAAUUGGGUAACCCCCUAAUCUCUUUCGUGCUGGGGAUUGAGGUUUGCAAUUAUCCUUCAUGAACGAGGAAUUCCCAGUAAGUGCGAGUCAUUAUCUCGCGCUGACUACGUCCCUGCCCUUUGUACACACCGCCCGUCGCUGCUACCGAUUGAAUGAUUUAGUGAGGACUUCGGACUGAGUCCAAUGCGGCUUUCGGGCUGCGUUGGUAUUUCGGAAAGAUGUCCAAACUGUAUCAUUUAGAGGAAGUAAAAGUCGUAACA